rnacentral:rRNA from 1 species
GACAGAGGUGCCAAGCGUUAGGCGGAAUCACUGGGCUUAAAGCGUGUGUAGGCGGGCCCGUAAGUGUCUUGUGAAAUCCCACGGCUCAACCGUGGAACUGCUGGGCAUACUGCGGGUCUUGGGCCAACUAGGGGCAGCCGGAACAAGCGGUGGAGCGGUGAAAUGCGUAGAUAUCGCUUGGAACGCCGAAGGUGAAAACAGGCUGCUGGGGUUGCGCCGACGCUGAGACACGAAAGCCAGGGGAGCAAACGGG